GUUUUAAAUGGCCAAACGGUGCAACGUGCGACUGGUUUAAUUUAAAAGCUGUAUAUGUGGCAGCAUUUUAAGGGACCUUUUUUCCUACAUGGCAGCACCUUUAUAAUAUUCAUAUCGCAAUGAAGUACAAAACUUUGAAGCAGAUAUCAGUGAAUGUGGGAUGCAAUUAACAUAGCAAACAACCAUGAUUUGAUCAAUAUUGCUAUGAUUUCGGUUGACUAAUAGCACAAUUCUCCACAAGAUGAAGUAUAUAUGCACCCCAUUUGUUUGACAAUGAGUUUCUGUUUUGGUUCACCAUGUGGAGAGAGACACCAAAGAUGCUUGGGAGGUCUAUAGAAACAUGUGUUUGACAUGCUACCUCCUGUGCUUUUCAUUGGUUUUACUUAUAAUUUUUCUUUUGACAUACAAACUAACCCCAAUUCAUAGGAAUUGCUUAAAAUCGUUAUUACCCUUUUUGUUCUCUAGGUUGCCGGAUAACUCUUUGUUUUAGCUUUAUUUGAAAGGGAAAAAAAAGUUAAAAUAUUUAUCUUUGAGAGUUUUCUUUUGGAUUAUUUUCUCAGUUGAUGAUAAAGAUUGGUGGGGAGAUAUUUCUAAGAAAGGGGCUCUGCCUUGGCAAAUAACAGCUGUGAUGGAAGACAUCUGAGACUUGCUGGCUUAGUAUAGACAUUUAUAUUUUGUACAUAGAAAUUUAUUGGCAAAAGAAAAGUCUUAGAUGCAUUUUUUUUUGGGACAAUAACUGCAGUGCAUAGUAGUUUUUCUAUAUUCAAGAUUUAUAGAAAGCUUACAAAAAUGUUCAAAGGGCUUAAAAAGGUUUGUAAUACCGUAUGCAAUAUAC